GACAGGCCUGGUAGACAGCCCAGCUCUUUCAUCGAACCCAAGCCAUACUCUAGCACCGGGCGGAUGAAAGAUUUUGCAAGAGUUGCCGGUCAUGUUAUGGAGGUUAUUACAAGUUCUUACAAGUCACAAAAGUUUUGCCAAGAGUUUUAUCAAAUUUCCUAUAGAGUGUAGACCUUUACUUUGAGUUUUUUUUACCUUGGAUUGCACUCAACUGACGCACGAGAAAUUUUCAUGUUGCCGGCUGCGCCAUCUUGGUUAUUUACGCCUGUUGGAAACCUCUCCUGGUCCUGGGUACUUUUACUGACUUUGUAUGAGUACAUGGGCAGACUUAAACCAAACUAUAACAUGAAAAACGACUGUUUGUGUAUUUCAAAAAAGUUAGGAUCUACUUCAGGGAUAGAUGGAUGGAUGACCCGUAAGGGGCGGCGCGGCAUAACCCAGAACGAUGAAGCUAUCCUCCUAGAGGUGGGAGCAAAAGUCUCUGCCAGAUAUUCCGAGGGCCCCCUGUCGGCUACUAUGAGGCAGAGAGAUCCAGGCAGAGAUACUCGAAAUGGAAGAAUCUCUUGAAUAUGGGGUCUCUUUUGAAGAGAACCCAAAAAAGAAGGUGAAGGUCACAGCCAAAGAUGUGCAGUUUUUCAUCAAGGUUCGGAAAGCGAUUGAAGGUACUCAGGAGGACGUGAUGGAAGCAU